rnacentral:rRNA from 1 species
GUCCACGCCGUAAACGAUGGAUACUAGCUGUUGGGGUUUACCUCAGUGGCUAAGCGAAAGUGAUAAGUAUCCCACCUGGGGAGUACGUUCGCAAGAAUGAAACUCAAAGGAAUUGACGGGGGCCCGCACAAGCGGUGGAGCAUGUGGUUUAAUUCGAUGAUACGCGAGGAACCUUACCAAGGCUUAAAUGUAGAUUGACAGGUUUGGAAACAGACUUUUCUUCGGACAAUUUACAAGGUGCUGCAUGGUUGUCGU